rnacentral:rRNA from 1 species
GUCGAGCGAGACCUUCGGGUCUAGCGGCGGACGGGUGAGUAACGCGUGGGAAUGUGCCCUUCUCUACGGAAUAGUCCCGGGAAACUGGGUUUAAUACCGUAUACGCCCUUCGGGGGAAAGAUUUAUCGGAGANAGGAUCAGCCCGCGUCUGAUUAGGUAGUUGGUGGGGUAAUGGCCUACCAAGCCUACSAUCAGUAGCUGGUUUUAGAGGAUGAUCAGCCACACUGGGACUGAGACACGGCCCCAGACUCCUACGGGAGGCAGCAGUGGGGAAUCUUAGACAAUGGGCGCAAGCCUGAUCUAGCCAUGCCGCGUGAGUGAUGAAGGCCUUAGGGUCGUAAAACUCUUUCGCCAGGGAUGAUAAUGACAGUACCUGGUAAAGAAGCCCCGGCUAACUCCGUGCCAGCAGCCGCGGUAAUACGGAGGGGGCUAGCGUUGUUCGGAAUUACUGGGCGUAAAGCGCGCGUAGGCGGACUAUUAAGUCAGGGGUGAAAUCCCGGGGCUCAACCCCGGAACUGCCCUUGAUACUGGUAGUCUUGAGUUCGAGAGAGGUGAGUGGAAUUCCGAGUGUAGAGGUGAAAUUCGUAGAUAUUCGGAGGAACACCAGUGGCGAAGGCGGCUCACUGGCUCGAUACUGACGCUGAGGUGCGAAAGUGUGGGGAGCAAACAGGAUUAGAUACCCUGGUAGUCCACACCGUAAACGAUGAAUGCCAGUCGUCGGCAAGCAUGCUUGUCGGUGACACACCUAACGGAUUAAGCAUUCCGCCUGGGGAGUACGGUCGCAAGAUUAAAACUCAAAUGAAUUGACNGAGGCCCGC